rnacentral:rRNA from 1 species
UGCGUAGGCGGCGCGGUAAGUCGGGUGUGAAAUCUCGGAGCUUAACUCCGAAACUGCAUUCGAUACUGCCGUGCUUGAGGACUGGAGAGGAGACUGGAAUUUACGGUGUAGCGGUGAAAUGCGUAGAUAUCGUAAGGAAGACCAGUGGCGAAGGCGGGUCUCUGGACAGUUCUUGACGCUGAGGCACGAAGGUCAGGGGAGCAAACG